GGUGAUGGACAGAACAGAAGCCUUUCAAGACCUCAUUGAGGGCAUUGAUAUUUGCUGGAAAAGAACCAUUCCCAACCAUCUAUGUGGAUUCUCAGAAGGAAGGAGAGCGUUGGGCAGUGAUCUCCAAGACACAGAAGAAAAUGUGAAAAG